GUUUUUGUAGUAUAUAUGUACACUAUCUUUUCAAGAUAGAAGAGAACGUUAUUCCUUAAAUA
rnacentral:tRNA from 1 species